ACGGGUGUGUAACACGUGGGUGAUCUGCCCUGCACUUUGGGAUAAGCCUGGGAAACUGGGUCUAAUACCAGAUAGGACCAUGCUUUGGAUGGUGUGGUGGAAAGUUUUUUCGGUGUGGGAUGAGCUUGCGGCCUAUCAGCUUGUUGGUGGGGUAAUGGCCUACCAAGGCGUCGACGGGUAGCCGGCCUGAGAGGGUGUACGGCCACAUUGGGACUGAGAUACGGCCCAG
rnacentral:rRNA from 1 species